UACGUAGGGGGCAAGCGUUGUCCGGAAUCAUUGGGCGUAAAGCGCGUGUAGGCGGCCCGAUAAGUCCGCUGUGAAAGUCCAGGGCUCAACCCUGGAAUGCCGGUGGAUACUGUCGAGCUCGAGUCCGGAAGAGGCGAGUGGAAUUCCUGGUGUAGCGGUGAAAUGCGCAGAUAUCAGGAGGAACACCAAUGGCGAAGGCAGCUCGCUGGGACGUGACUGACGCUGAGACGCGAAAGCGUGGGGAGCAAACAGG
rnacentral:rRNA from 1 species